rnacentral:rRNA from 1 species
CAAUAACAGGUCUGUGAUGCCCUUAGAUGUUCUGGGCCGCGCGCGUGCUACACUGAUGCGAUCAACGAGCCUAGCCUUGGCCGAGGGGUCCGGGUAAUCUUGCAAACCGCAUCGUGAUGGGGAUAGAUUAUUGCAAUUAUUAAUCUUCAACGAGGAAUGCCUAGUAAGCGCGAGUCAUCAGCUCGCGUUGAUUACGUCCCUGCCCUUUGUACACACCGCCCGUCGCUCCUACCGAUUGGGUGUGCUGGUGAAGCGUUCGGAUUGGUGGCUCCAAGCGGUUCGCCGCCCGGGGCAACCGAGAAGUUCGUUAAACCCUCCCACCUAGAGGAAGGAGAAGUCGUAACAAGGUUUCCGUAGGUGAACCUGCGGAAGGAUC